UACGUAGGGGGCGAGCGUUGUCCGGAAUCACUGGGCGUAAAGCGCGCGUAGGCGGCGCGGUGCAUCCCGUGUGAAAGCGCCCGGCUCAACCGGGCGAGGCCACGGGAGAUGGCCGCGCUGGAGGGCGGUAGAGGCAGGCGGAAGGCCCGAAGUAGUGGUGAAAUGCGUAGAGAUCGGGCGGAACACCGGUGGUGAAGGCGGCCUGCUGGGCCGGCCCUGACGCUGAGGCGCGAAAGCCAGGGGAGCGAACGGA
rnacentral:rRNA from 1 species